rnacentral:lncRNA from 1 species
GCCUGGUACCUCUCUUUCUCCUCUAAAUCCUUUCUGUAUGUCAUGACUAAGUAAUUACUCACCCUACUGGUAGACUGAGUUCCUGGAGGCAUUAGGCAGGUUUCACUCAGAGGGUGAGAGCAAAUGGAUGCCUGAUGGUAACGUGGUGGAAUUGCUGAGGUUUGGUGGGCAUUUUUGUGUUGUUUGUUGCUGCUGUUGUGGUGCUUUUAUUUUCUUAUUUUAAUUUAAAAACAAACAAACUUUUUUUUCUACUUUCAUUUAGGGCCUACCCAAGACUUCGUAGUGAUUUCAGUGAGAAUUGACUGGCUUGGCUCUUGUCCAGAUCUGUCCUUCAUAAAACCAUCAGGGACACGCAUCAAUGAUUUCUCUGUGAGCAUGGUUUUACCUCAAGCCUACCAGUGAUAUGACAACAAGGACAGGAAGGAGCAUGCUGGUAUUCCAGUCCCACUGUAUUCAGAACUAGGUUCUCUGGAUACUGCUGCUUCUGCUUCCCAAUCCCCACCACCCUCCUCUGCCUUUUCACUUGCUCAGCUGGAACUUCUCCAGGCAAUUUGAACUGGAAGAUCUGCUCUGUUUUGAUGUGCGUAACAACCAGCUUUAAGUAAACAACUCCUGUCC